UUACUUAGUGGCUGAAAUGUAAGUAAUGGUCUCUUAAACCAAUGUAUAAUAUAUUAACGAAUAUUCUAAGUA
rnacentral:tRNA from 1 species